UACGGAGGUGGCAAGCGUUGCUCGGAAUCACUGGGCGUAAAGGGCGCGUAGGCGGGGAGGUAAGUCGGGUGUGAAAUCCCUCGGCCCAACCGAGGAACUGCGCCCGAGACUGCUUCUCUUGAGUCCCGGAGAGGAAGAUGGAAUUCCCGGUGUAGCGGUGAAAUGUGUAGAGAUCGGGAGGAACACCGGUGGCGAAGGCGGUCUUCUGGACGGUGACUGACGCUGAGGCGCGAAAGCUUGGGGAGCAAACGGG
rnacentral:rRNA from 1 species